GGAAUGAAAAGAGAUACUAGUACAUGUCAGACUUUAUUUCAGAGAAUUUGAUUCAGCGUCCGAACCGAAAACGAGUUGCCGCGUAAAAUCAUGAGGGUGAAGAGAUUACGUAGCAGAGAUUGCGCAACCAGAAAUAUGUGAUCCCCAGCAUUUGAGUCGAAGCUGAAGGCCACGGAUGGCUGCCGCGCUCCCUCCGUCGACCGCUCCGCCGCUCCUCACCCGCCGCUCCGCAGCAGGCCUCGAACGCAGCCGCCGGUCGCCGCGCGGGCAGCAUGGCGGCUGCUGUGCGCGCCGGUUGCCGGCAGCGGCGACCGCCGGCGCCACAUGCGGCCUGACGCGGAGAGCCACGGCUGUGGCGGCGGCCGCUCGGGCCGGGGAGGGCGCGGAGGAGGGGUCGCUGCAGAUGGUCCUGCUCAGCACCGCGGUGGCCGUGUGCGGUUCCUUCGAGUUCGGCACCUGUGUUGGGUAUUCUGCGCCGGCUCAGGCUGGAAUCGUCGGCGACAUUGGACUGUCCAAUUCACAGUAUGGCAUCUUUGCAUCUGUCUUGACGGUUGGUGCAAUGGUCGGCGCUCUGACCAGUGGCCGCCUUGCAGACACUCUUGGACGCAAAAUGACCAUGCGGCUGGCAGCAAUUGUAGGCAUUUUUGGUUGGCUUGCUAUAUACCUAGCCAAGGGCGCAACGAUGCUCUGCUUGGGACGAGUCUUGCUGGGCUACUGUACAGGGGUCCUUUCUUAUGUGGUACCUGUCUUCAUAUCUGAAAUAGCACCAAAGGGUCUCCGAGGAGGCCUUGCAGCCUCAAACCAGCUGUUUAUUUGUUCAGGGUGUUCAGCUGCCUACAUCAUUGGAGCAACGAUUUCGUGGCGCUCUUUGGUUAUCGUGGGAUUAGUGCCUUGUGUGUUCCUCCUCGUGGGUCUUCCCUUCAUUCCCGAGUCUCCAAGGUGGCUGGCCAACAUCGGGAGAGAGAAAGAAUUCCGUGCUUCACUACAAAAGCUUAGGGGUGAAAAGGCUGACAUAUCUGGAGAGGCUACUGAGAUUAUAGAGCAUGUUGAAUCAGUUCUGGGUUUACCUAAGGCCAGGAUUCAGGAUUUGUUUCACAGGAAAAAUAUGUAUGCAGUCAUUGUAAGAACUAAGCAAUUUCAUCAACCUACUUCGUUUCCGAAAGAUCUUAUUUUUCAUCAUCAUGAAAGAAGUUCUAGCUUUGAUGCACAGGUGGGCGUCGGCCUGAAGGUCUUUCAGCAACUGGGGGGAAUAAACGCAUUAGGCUUCUAUACAAGCUAUAUCUUUUCAUCUGCAGGGUUUUCUGGUAAACUUGGGACCACAUUGAUCGGCAUUAUUCAGAUUCCAAUCACGUUACUUGGGGCCCUUCUCAUGGAUAGGAGUGGAAGAAGAACCCUUCUACUGGUGUCUUCAUCUGGCACAUUUGUGGGCUGCUUUCUUACUGGGCUAUCAUUCUACUUCAAGGCACAAGGACUGUACACACAAUUGGUUCCUACAUUGGCUCUUUACGGCAUACUGGCAUACUAUGUGGCAUACUCAAUUGGAAUGGGACCUGUUCCUUGGGUUAUCAUGUCCGAGAUAUUCUCAAUCAACAUGAAAGGAAUAGCAGGACGCUUGGUAACCCUGGUUAGUUGGGUUGGUUCAUUCGUGAUAUCGUAUUCGUUCAGCUUCCUUAUGGAUUGGAACUCUGCAGGUAAGCAUGUUCAACCCUUGUAUAAGUAGGACAGUUGGAAAGAAAGUAGAAUAUCCACCAUUACCCACUCAUGUGACAGCCGAAUGAUAACCCAUCAGCAAAAAUAUGUUUGUAAAGGAGUUAUCGCCAAGGCACAUUUUUCUUGUUCUCAGCAGCGAGCCUGGUUACUGUGUUGUUCGUGGCAAGGCUAGUGCCAGAAACUAAAGGGAGAACACUCGAAGAGAUCCAAGAAUCGCUAAUGGCCGGCACAUGACAGGUUAAGAGGGAGGACUAUGUAUGGCUGGCAGGGCCAUUGCAAAUUUAUGUCUACAGAUCUGAGAAAAGGAACUGAUAUCUUUGUAUUGUAAAUUCCCGUGUACCUCUUGUUAAUCAUUAGAUUGCUUGGCCAUGAGUGUCGAACUAUCAAUCAAUUCCAGACAGAUCUGUGUCAGAUGAUCUAAUUUGGUUUGGUUGUGACCAAAAAUUUACCAUGA